rnacentral:rRNA from 1 species
GAUGAACGCUGGCGGCGUGCCUAAUACAUGCAAGUCGAACGCAUAGCGAAAGGUGCUUGCACCUUUCAAGUGAGUGGCGAACGGGUGAGUAACACGUGGACAACCUGCCUCAAGGCUGGGGAUAACAUUUGGAAACAGAUGCUAAUACCGAAUAAAACUUAGUGUCGCAUGACACAAAGUUAAAAGGCGCUUCUGCGUCACCUAGAGAUGGAUCCGCGGUGCAUUAGUUAGUUGGUGGGGUAAAGGCCUACCAAGACAACGAUGCAUAGCCGAGUUGAGAGGAUGAUCAGCCACACUGGGAGUGGGCAGCGGCCCAGACUCCUACGGGAUGCAGCAGUGGGGAAUAUUGGACAAUGGGCGAAAGCCUGAUCCAGCAAGUACGCGUGAGUGAUGAAAGCGUUAGGGUUGGAAAGCGCUUUUACCCGUGAUGAUAAUGACAGUACCGGGAGAAUAAGCGCCGGCUAACUCCGUG